AUUGAACGCUGGCGGCAUGCCUUACACAUGCAAGUCGAACGGUAACAGGUCUUCGGAUGCUGACGAGUGGCGAACGGGUGAGUAAUACAUCGGAACGUGCCUAGUAGUGGGGGAUAACUACUCGAAAGAGUGGCUAAUACCGCAUGAGAUCUACGGAUGAAAGCAGGGGAUCGCAAGACCUUGUGCUACUAGAGCGGCCGAUGGCAGAUUAGGUAGUUGGUGGGAUAAAAGCUUACCAAGCCGACGAUCUGUAGCUGGUCUGAGAGGACGAUCGGCCAAACUGGGACUGAGACCCGGCCCAGACUCCUACGGGAGGCAGCAGUGGGGAAUUUUGGACAAUGGGCGAAAGCCUGAUCCAGCAAUGCCGCGUGCAGGAUGAAGGCCUUCGGGUUGUAAACUGCUUUUGUACGGAACGAAAAGCCCCGGGUUAAUACCCUGGGGUCAUGACGGUACCGUAAGAAUAAGCACCGGCUAACUACGUGCCAGCAGCCGCCGUAA
rnacentral:rRNA from 1 species